CCAGACUCCUACGGGAGGCAGCAGUGAGGAAUAUUGGUCAAUGGCCGGAAGGCUGAACCAGCCAAGCCGCGUGAAGGACGAAGGUGCCAAGCAUUGUAAACUUCUUUUGUCAAGGGACAAAAUCAGGCUCGAGAGCCUGACCGAGGGUACUUGAAGAAAAAGCAUCGGCUAACUCCGUGCCAGCAGCCGCGGUAAUACGGAGGAUGCGAGCGUUAUCCGGAUUUAUUGGGUUUAAAGGGUGCGUAGGCGGAGUGUCAAGUCAGCGGUAAAAUUUCGGGGCUCAACCCCGUCGUGCCGUUGAAACUGACACCCUUGAGUGAGUGAGAAGUAAGCGGAAUGCGUGGUGUAGCGGUGAAAUGCAUAGAUAUCGCGCAGAACUCCGAUUGCGAAGGCAGCAUGCCGGCUCCACACUGACGCUGAGGCACGAAAGCGUGGGUAUCGAACAGGAUUAGAUACCCUCGUACU
rnacentral:rRNA from 1 species